rnacentral:tRNA from 1 species
GCCCAACUGGCUCAGUCAGAGGAGCAUGCGACUCUUGAUCUCAGAGUCAUAAGUUCAAGCCCCGUGUUGGGUG